rnacentral:lncRNA from 1 species
GAAAUAUAAGGAUGGGGACAGCUGAGGGUUGUACAGUGGAUGUAAUUGUGAUUUCCAAGGAGUGUGGGAGAACAGAAUAAUCAUGAGUCAAAUGAUAGAUACAACUAUAUGCUACUGGAGGGAGGGUAAAGGCCUCAGAGGAAGGCAAGGGUGCAAUUGAAAGGAAGAGAGAUAGCAUCUUGAUGUUUCAGGGGCAGACUCUCACCUUGGACAUGAGUAGACUCAAGCUUUUUUGAUACAUCUCCCAAGUCAUGUAUUCACUCUGAGCCUCAGUGUCUUUUGCCCUUCAAAGAGGGGGCACCGAUAGUAACUCUUUGCAGGUUUCACGUAAGGAAAUGUGUUUUACCACAAGUGCUGUACAAAGCAUGGAACCUGACACUGAGGAAACCACCAGGAACAGUUAAACAUCCUUUAAAAACACAUCUAGUAAAGGACUUUCAGUGAGAAAAGGAAGGUAGCCAGCAGCUCAGGAAAGAGGAGGGGAGGACGGUCCAGGGAAGACAUUGGUUUUUGCUUAGAUGAUAUGCUCUUGAAUAGCAGGAAUGACCAUGACAGAUCUCAGAGACUUGAUGCUGAGAAACCAAGGAUGCUGUGUCCACUAAGAACUCUGAAUGUCAGGGAUGGCAGUGGCCUGGGGAGUCUCCAGGACACUCUGGAACCUUGGGCUGUUAUCAAGUGGCCGUCAAGGGAACUCACAAAAGGAUUCAAGAGCCCUGGUCAGGGGUGCACCUCAUGGACCACUCCUUAACCAGAAGCAGGAUAAGCUGGAGAACUAUCAGUCUUUGAAUGUUCUGUCUACAUUGUCCUAAAUUUGCUCUUGGGAUUUGACUCAGUGUGUAGGAUGGCAAAGAGAACAAACCUCAAGAACAUCACAAGAAAAUGUAGGAAAGAUAAAUGUGUGAAAUGGAACAGUACAAUCUGUAAGAGAAACGGGCACUUCAGAGUGUAUGUGGAGCCAGGCGUGGGCCUGCUAUGCUCUGCCUGGUCCAGGGAGGAGACUGCUUGGAAGGAUCCUGGGCCGGACUUUGCCUGAUAGAUUUACCAGAGACCAAGAGAGGGAAGAUAGAUUACAUGGCGAUUUUGUAAAGUACAAAGUUGGUUACAUAUAUCUAUAAAUAAAGUUUAAAGUCCAUUGUGGGAGGGGCUGCUGGAGAGAUGACUCAGUAGUUAAGGGCCCUUGCUGCUCUCCCAGUGAACUCUUGUUUGGUUCCUAGCACUCAUGUUUGGCUGCCCACAACCACCUGUAACUACAACUUCAGGGCAUCUGAGGAUCUCUUCCAGCCUCUGGAAACACUUGCAUUUAUAGGCAGAUACCUAUAUAAAUGCUCAUGUGCAUGCACGUGUGUGCAUGCGCGCGCGCGCACACACACACACACACACACACACACACACACACACACCUUCUAAAAAUAAAUCUUUAUUUGUCAUGCAAUGAGUCACGAUAAUUACACUUUCUUACACUAGUACACCAGUUUACAGAGCAUGCCAGAAUCUUCUUUAAUUCUUAUCAUACACAGGAAGAUAGUGCUCGUUUUGUUCCUGAUCUUGCAAAUGAGGACAAAGUCUCAAAGGACUUUAAGUUGCAUGCCCAGGGUGGCUCUGCUGUUACUGAAACCAGCUGCCUCGGUAUUCAUUCAUAUUCAGCAAACAUGUAGUGGGUUCCUCUCCUCUGCCAGGCGCUUGGCCCGAGGCUGAAAAUACAAAGACAAUGCUCAAAUGAAUUCACAGAAAGCUGGGGGAAAUACAUCCAAAAACAUGAUUCAAAUAUAAUGAAGCUAAAAAAAUGAUACAAGGUUGCAUGUGACAUUGUUAAUUGAGACUAUACACAAAGGGGACUGGGAACCUAAGCUGCUUAGGACAGGUGUCACCAGAAGCCCUUACAGAAGGAAUAAGUAGGUGUUUAGGGGAGGAAGACAGAAAGCUGUUCAAGGCACUGACGCUCCACACAGAAAGCCAUGGGAGCUCAAUAGCACAUUCUAUGAUGCCAACCUCAGAAAUUAACAGCCUUGAGUUGCAGGUGGAAGGUGCAGAAGCCAAAUUAAAAACAGUCUUUUCAGGCUGAGCUCAGGAGCCUGAAUUUCCAUGCUGUAAGUGGCUGGGAUCCACUGGAGGAUUUUAAUUGUGUGAAGAAGUCACAUGUGGUGAAUAUAUUAUCAUCAGAAUGCGGAGCAAUGAAAUGUAAACAGAUAGGAAUCGUCACUAAAGCUCCAACUGCAGCCUCCGGGUGCCAUAGCUUUUGCACCAUCCAUUUGCACCAUCUCUGCAUUGCUCUCAAUCACUGCCACGAGUCUGGUGAUGCGCUAAGCUCGGGGCAGGAUCUCAAGGGCUUUGAGGUAAAUAAGGUACCCUCUGUGGGCUCUGUUUCAAUUAGAUGCUAGAGCAAUUGUCAUCAUUUUAGAGAACAAAGAUACUGUGAUCGAAAACCGUGAAGGCUGCUGUCUAUGUCAUGCUUGUCCCUAGUUUACAUGCAUUUUCCAGAUAACCAAAUCCAAUAAGCCCUGAGUGCACCCUGAUCCCCUCUCCACUCCCGUGUCAGCUCCAAAUGGAUGGAAGAUGACAGGAAGGAACUAGCUGGGACACAGAGCAAAACUUCUAGAGUUAAUGAGACAGUAACUCUCAUCUUAGUUCCUGAUGAAGGACCUAAAGCUGUUUGGUGUGGCUAGGAGCAUAUGAUUUUCCUGAGGGACCUGUUAAACAAGUCCCAUCUCUCUUGAGUUUCAGCUUACAUAGCCAGAAAAUAAAUCCUUUCCCUGUUCCAAGCAAAGUACUAGGACAUCUUGCUUCUCUUGCCUCUACAGACAGCAAGAUGACUUCAUGGCUUUCUCUUUCACCACAGUCACUGGUGCUCAGUACAAAUGAGACUCACCUUAGAAAGAAAGAAAAGAAAGAAAGAAAGAGAAAAAGAGGGGGAGGGAGAGAGGAGGGAGGGAGAAAGGGAGGAAAGAAGGAAGGGAGGGAGGGAGGGAGGAAGGAAGGAAGGGUGGAUUUGGAAAACACACUUACAGCCUCCUAGAGAGGAAAUAGGCCGUGAAACCUAAUGAAGAAAGAACCAUAGACCAAGGUCACAACAGCAAAAACAGAAAGAAAAAAUAUGAGCACAUUACUUCGUAGAAGUAAUACAUAAAACAUCUGCAGCAGAGGCAUUAUCUUCUACUUAAUGAGCUAAAUGCAUUAUUUAUUAAUCCUGUUAUAUGUGUGUAUCAGAGGUCAGAGGGAAACUUGUAGGAGUCGAUGUUCUUAUUCCUUGUGUCUGGAGAAUUGAACUCAGCCUAUUAGGGUUGGUGGCAAAGGAAUAGUUAUAAACAGACCACCCCCCCCCCAAGCGACCACAUGUAACUCAUUGAUUUUGGCAGGAUGUCUGCAUCAUCUGUAUUGACCUGCUCCCCAGAUUAAUACCGAAGCACUGCAAUUUCUUGAGGAUUAUCCACCUAGGAGGAAAUGAUACGCUGGCCCAUCCAUAGUAGUCAAGGGAACCACCAUCUCAGAUGGUAGAAACCACUCAGAAGGAUCAACUGCUGCAGACGGGAAGAGGAGCAACCUCGUGAAUAAUUUCGUGACAGGAUAUUGCAGGAGGGACUUUGUCCAAAUGUGUGCAGGGGUAGUUGGCUACAGCAACAAGGAUGACGAACACAGAUGAAUUGAUCAGGAUGUAACCAUUCAAAGUUGAGAGGAUUAGAGGACUUCUCCGAGGCGGCUCCAAUGGAUGCCAGCAGAGUUAAAGUGUCCAAUGGAGAGAAGAGAAGGCUUGGGAAAUCCAGAGUCCAUUCAUUCAUCGCCCUCCUCCUAGAACAACAAAAGCGAGCCCCAGUACUCAUCAGCAUGGACUCUGUGUGUAGUCAUCUCCCUUAGUUUCAGAGGUUCCUGCCUACAGCAAAACUUUAGAGGCUUAGAGUUUAACGGUCAUAGCUUAUUCACCUCCAACUGUGUCCUAGUUCAAGAGAAACACUUCACAUAUCUGUAGGGAGAAGAUAAUGAACCAAGGAUACAAGUUAAGCCUUAGCUAAGACCUGUUACUCAGGAAAAAGAGCUAAAACAAGCUGCUUAGAUCAGCACCAAUGUUAGGUAGAGAGAAAAAGAAACGCUGCAUAGAAAUCUUAAGGUUCACAUGUGCUCCAGGCUGGGUCAACAACUUCUAAUUUCCUUUGCCAACCAACCAUGUCUUUGACAGAAAUGAUCCUUCUACAUAGACCACAGAGGGAUCCAAUGGAGGUUUCUCUUCCUGAAUUUGGGGAUUCAGAAUCUGGACAAAUUCCUUUCCAUCAAAGUCCAGUACAAAAGUAGUACCAUGGCAGUCCCUGCAGGGACUUGCAUCACUUUCCCUAGAGAUAUCAAGAGAAUUUUUAGUGAUAAGAAUAUGGCACAAAAUGAGAAAUCCCAUUACUCUUAAGAGAAUCUCUUCCUUCUCAAAGGCACCUGAUUAAUACAUAUAGUACUAUCAGUAAGGCUGAGCAAAAGGAUACUGAUGUUCUGAGUGAUCUUAAAUCAUGUAAUAAUAACUUUAUUCGUAGUAUAGAACGGAAUAUUCCCUAUUAGUAAUCAGUUCCUUUGCCAGAUCCUCAUAGUAUCUUAGUCACUGUUUUAUUGUUAUGAAGAGAAACUUUGACCACAGCACCUCUUAGAAAAAAGGAAGCAUUUAAUCGGGACUUCCUUAUGGUUUCACAGUUUUACAUAAUUGUCAACAUGGCAGAGAACAUGGGGGCACGCAAACAGACAUGGUGCUGGAGAAGUAGCGGAGAAUAUACAGCAACAUAUAGAUACAAAAUAUAGAUACAUAUAGAUACAGAAUAUAGAUACAUAUAGCUACAUAUAGAUCUGCAGGCAGCAGGAAGAGACUGGGACAAGGCCAUACCUUCUAAGGCUUCUCAAGGAGUGUCACUUCCUGAUGACCAAGCAUUCAAGUGUAUGAGCUUAUGGGAGCCAUUCUUAUUCAAGCCACCACACAUAGCAAAGCUGAUAAUGUCAUUUUCUGAAUUAACCAGGCCAAGGCACACUUCUUAGCAACAUGGUUACCUGGUAACCAGAGAUUUUUCUCAUCCCAUGAGAGAUUUCAUUCAAGAACUGAUCUUCUAACAGUUUUGUCUCUCUUAAGAAUGCUACAGACAGGGUGGGGUGAGGCACAGUGCUGAAGCCCCUCAAGUUUCCCAGAGGGAUGAGUCCAUGAAAGACGAAAAUCAUGUGGUCACACUGAGCAUAGACUUCACAAGCAUCAUGCUAGGAUUCCAUUUUCUUUCUCAACACAAUGAUAAAUUCUUCUUCCAAUAAGCAGAAAAUCAUCCAAUGGGAAAAAAAAAUAAAACCAACUAACUUGCAGUCCUUUGGAACAGUUUCAUAGCUUACAGGAUGGCUUCAUAACCCUGGGGACACUCGUUUUGACAUGAAAACUUCCUUCAGAACAGGAAUUCUGAUCCAACAUGUGCUCAGACAUCAUUUCAGUCACUUGCAAAUGAACAAGAAAGCUCAUGUAAAUGAGGAGGCUCAACUCCCAGGCCUGGUGAGUGGGUAAGACAUUCCUCUGCUGGGUUUUGAAGGCUGUCUGAAACCAUCGGCUGACAUCCUUCUCUGUGUGCAUGUAUGCACUAUCUACGGGAAAUUCAGCUCCAACCGGUUGUCUCUACAGCUCCCUUAAUCUUCUCCUCCCUCCUCCUGGCAUUGGCAUGUGUCCCAGGACUGCAGCGAGGAGUGCUUACCAACAAAGGUGCUGGCAUCUGCAUUUGUUUCACAGCCACAAACCUAAUGGUUCCAUGAUUUUGGCGAGCAAAACUGUCAAAAUGCCUGAGCACAAGAGAUCACAAGAUGAGCCAAGGCAUAGUGUGCAUGCCUUCCUUCCCAGCACUCGGAAGGCAGAGGCAAGGGGAUCUCUGUGGGUUCAAGGCCAGCCUGAAUCACAAGGUGUACUGGGGAUUCUUUUUUAUUGUUUUCCUUUUGCUAUCUGGAAUAGUUUGAGAUUGUAUUUGAUCAGUGCAUUAAACAAC